rnacentral:rRNA from 1 species
ACUCCUACGGGAGGCAGCAGUGGGGAAUCUUAGACAAUGGGGGCAACCCUGAUCUAGCCAUGCCGCGUGAGUGAUGAAGGCCCUAGGGUUGUAAAGCUCUUUCAGCAGGAGCGAAACGGUACGCUCUAACAUAGCGUGCUAAUGACGGUACCAGCAGAAGAAGCACCGGCUAACUACGUGCCAGCAGCCGCGGUAAU